UUUAGCCCCUAGCCACGUUACAAGCUUAAUAAAGUCCACGCAGAUUGGAUAAUGUUUGCUAAAAUUUUCAUAAAGCUUAAUUUUGCGAUAAGGGGAAAUGACUUUCACAGUGUCGUAAAAGGGAAAAAGAAUUUGAAAAAAAAAGGAGAAAAAGGUAAUGUCUCAGGAAUAGGGGAUCUUCUUACCAUCUAACCAAAAGCAUGCAAAAGAAAAUCAAACCAGUUGGGGCCAUCCUUUUAGCCUAUCCUUUUCAUGCCCACCACUUCUUCCAAAUAGAACCUUAUGCCAAAAAAAACUGGGGUAACAUUGUGGAUUUCACCACGCAUCUUCGCCCUGAAAUUCAUCAACCUGUAACCUCAAGACUAGGGCAGCUUUGCAAAUCUCAUUUGAAAUUUUCACCCUAAUUGUCAUGGAUUCAAACUUCAGCUCAUUUUCCCAAAUGCUAAACCGGGGCAAAGUUUUUGGUAUAUCGUGUUUUGUCUUGGCACUCACAUAUUACAUCUCCUUUGAGGAUUGUAGUGCCCACCUGACUAUCCAAUCCCCUUCUAAACCCUUAUAAACAUCUCUCAUUUUUCCCUUGCCUAAAUUCAAGCAUGUGUGCACUAAUGUCAAAAAAAAAAAAAAAAGAAAGAAAAGAAAAGAAAAAGGUCAGAAAAAGUCAAACAUAUAAUCAUAUCUAGCAUGAGACCUCGGAUAUAUGACAUUCCUCAAUUUUCACAAAAAAAAAAAAAACAGUUUGAUGAUUGCAAC
rnacentral:lncRNA from 1 species